GUACCCUAGGUUUCGGGUGAGAUAUAAAGCGUGCGGCAUUCGUAAUACAUGCUAAGAUGGGGGGGGUCGGGAGGCCGGACGUCUGUACAGGUGAGUAAAACCUUUGACGCAAACUACCAACCUACGGUUGGGUGAAAUACCAGAAGGGAGUUUCUAUCGACAGGUAAUAUUAGUUAGUUGGGGGGUGUAUUAGGGUAAACCCGGAGAUGCAUAGUCGAGAGGCCACAAUUCCACUGAAACAAGGGGGAGGCUCUGUAUAGAGGCAGCAGUAGAGAAUUUUGUACAAUGUAUGAAAGUACGAUACAGGGAAAACGCGAAUCCAGUGGGGCCCUUCGGGGGUCCAUUGGUGUAAGCCCGUCAAACGAGUAUGCCAGCAGGCGCGGUUAUUUACAGGGGCUGAGUUUUAUAAGGAAGGGCGUAAAUAGUGUAACGAUGGGUGGUGAGUACCAUAAAGGGAAACCAAGGAGCAGGCAUAGGGGUAGCUGGAACUAGUAAGAAGCGGUAAAAUGCGGAUAUAUACGAAGGUACACCAGAGGCGAAAGCGAGCUACUGGGAUACAACCAACCUGUGGUUGGUUCAUAAGGGGCUGACGUUUAAGCACGAAAGUGUGGGGAGCGAGUAGGAUUAGAUACCCAGGUAGUCCAUACCGCGAAAGAUGGGCCAUAUAUGUAUGCGUACGUAUACAUGUAAGUAAAUGCAAGAGGGUCCCGCCUGAAGAGUAUGAUUGCAAAGUUGAAAUUUAAGAAAUCUGACGGUUCGCCAACCAAUUAGAGGAGCGUGUGGUUUAAUGCGAUGAUCCGCGAGGGACCUUACCAGAGUUUGAACCUCACCAGUAUUAGGGGGGCAGGCGUCGUGUGGCCGUCGUCAGCCCUUGAUAAAGGGCACAACAUCGGCAGCCGAGUGGAAAACUAUACAACCACGGCGGUGCCUUGUAUGAAGUCAGGUCCUUACGGCCUAUAUAUUCUGGGCGACCCAUGCGCUACAAAUCUUAUAGGCAAAUACACAAAGUUGGUGCCAAGAAAGCUGGAAGGUUAAAUGGGAGUUAGGUUCGGGGCGUCCACUGAAAUGGGGGCGUGAAGCAGGAUUUGAAAGUAAUCGGGGAGUAGAGCGUUUCGGUGAAUAGAGCUCUGGCGUUCGUACAAACCGCUCGUCGCUCCCGCCAAGCAGUGGAGACUUAAAGUACGGGCAGAACUCAGGUGAAAUGGAAGUGGCUACAUAAGUGUGUCAUGGGAGGCCGGCAGGGGAGGACACGUAUGAUUGUGAAGCUGCAAGGGGGGAUAAGUCGAAACACGGUGGGGGUACUGGAAAGUGUCCCCGGAUUAAA